GAUGAACGCUGGCGGCGUGCCUAAUACAUGCAAGUCGAGCGAACGGACGAGAAGCUUGCUUCUCUGAUGUUAGCGGCGGACGGGUGAGUAACACGUGGAUAACCUACCUAUAAGACUGGGAUAACUUCGGGAAACCGGAGCUAAUACCGGAUAAUAUUUUGAACCGCAUGGUUCAAAAGUGAAAGACGGUCUUGCUGUCACUUAUAGAUGGAUCCGCGCUGCUUUAGCUAGUUGGUAAGGUAACGGCUUACCAAGGCAACGAUGCAUAGCCGACCUGAGAGGGUGAUCGGCCACACUGGAACUGAGACACGGUCCAGACUCCUACGGGAGGCAGCAGUAGGGAAUCUUCCGCAAUGGGCGAAAGCCUGACGGAGCAACGCCGCGUGAGUGAUGAAGGUCUUCGGAUCGUAAAACUCCGUUAUUAGGGAAGAACAUAUGUGUAAGUAACUGUGCACAUCUUGACGGUACCUAAUCAGAAAGCCACGGCUAACUACGUG
rnacentral:rRNA from 1 species